rnacentral:lncRNA from 1 species
CAGUCCUGCCCAUCCGGGAAUGUCAUCUGCCGGAGCCCCCCUAUUUAUGGAACAGCUCCGUUCCUGUCACUCACCACAGGUUGAUGCAGCACCCUGCCAACUCAGCUCUCCCUUUGGCUCGCUAGCCCCGGAAUUCAAUGUCGAAGCAGCAGGACCUCAGACAGCUUGGCAAGUCGCAGUGGGACCUUGGCAGAACCUCGGAUGGUUGCACUGGAGAUGGAACCUAGAGCCUCGUGUACACCAUGCGAGUGCUCUGCCCAUGAGCUACACCCAUGACCAUGGAAUCUGUCUUAAUCCCUACUUCAUUAUUGUCCAUGAACAAAAGAAUUAA